rnacentral:tRNA from 1 species
CAAAAUAUAGCUUAGAAAAGCCCCCCGCUUACACCGGAAAAACAUCUGUUGAACUCAGAUUAUUUUGA